AAUAGAUGAGCCUAAUCGGAUUAGCUAGUUGGUGGGGUAAAGGCCUACCAAGGGACGAUCUUAGCGGGUCUGAGAGGAUGAUCCGCCACACUGGGACUGAGACCGGCCCAGAUCCUACGGGAGGCAGCAGUGGGGAAUAUUGGACAAUGGGCGCAAGCCUGAUCCAGCCAUGCCGCGUGUGUGAAGAAGGCCUUAUGGUUGUAAAGCACUUUAAGCGAGGAGGAGGCUACUUUAGAUAAUACCUAGAGAUAGUGGACGUUACUCGCAGAAUAAGCACCGGCUAACUCUGUGCCAGCAGCCGCGGUAAUACAGAGGGUGCAAGCGUUAAUCGGAUUUACUGGGCGUAAAGCGCGCGUAGGCGGCUAAUUAAGUCAAAUGUGAAAUCCCCGAGCUUAACUUGGGAAUUGCAUUCGAUACUGGUUAGCUAGAGUGUGGGAGAGGAUGGUAGAAUUCCAGGUGUAGCGGUGAAAUGCGUAGAGAUCUGGAGGAAUACCGAUGGCGAAGGCAGCCAUCUGGCCUAACACUGACGCUGAGGUGCGAAAGCAUGGGGAGCAAACAGGAUUAGAUACCCUGGUAGUCCAUGCCGUAAACGAUGUCUACUAGCCGUUGGGGCCUUUGAGGCUUUAGUGGCGCAGCUAACGCGAUAAGUAGACCGCCUGGGGAGUACGGUCGCAAGACUAAAACUCAAAUGAAUUGACGGGGGCCCGCACAAGCGGUGGAGCAUGUGGUUUAAUUCGAUGCAACGCGAAGAACCUUACCUGGCCUUGACAUAGUAAGAACUUUCCAGAGAUGGAUUGGUGCCUUCGGGAACUUACAUACAGGUGCUGCAUGGCUGUCGUCAGCUCGUGUCGUGAGAUGUUGGGUUAAGUCCCGCAACGAGCGCAACCCUUUUCCUUAUUUGCCAGCGAGUAAUGUCGGGAACUUUAAGGAUACUGCCAGUGACAAACUGGAGGAAGGCGGGGACGACGUCAAGUCAUCAUGGCCCUUACGGCCAGGGCUACACACGUGCUACAAUGGUCGGUACAAAGGGUUGCUACCUAGCGAUAGGAUGCUAAUCUCAAAAAGCCGAUCGUAGUCCGGAUUGGAGUCUGCAACUCGACUCCAUGAAGUCGGAAUCGCUAGUAAUCGCGGAUCAGAAUGCCGCGGUGAAUACGUUCCCGGGCCUUGUACACACCGCCCGUCACACCAUGGGAGUUUGUUGCACCAGAAGUAGCUAGCCUAACUGCAAAGAGGGCGGUUACCACGGUGUGGCCGAUGACUGGGGUGAAGU
rnacentral:rRNA from 1 species